rnacentral:rRNA from 1 species
CCUACGGGAGGCAGCAGUGGGGAAUUUUGGACAAUGGGCGCAAGCCUGAUCCAGCCAUGCCGCGUGCGGGAAGAAGGCCUUCGGGUUGUAAACCGCUUUUGUCAGGGAAGAAAUCCUUUGGGCUAAUACCCUAGGGGGAUGACGGUACCUGAAGAAUAAGCACCGGCUAACUACGUGCCAGCAGCCGCGGUAAUACGUAGGGUGCAAGCGUUAAUCGGAAUUACUGGGCGUAAAGCGUGCGCAGGCGGUGAUGCAAGACAGAUGUGAAAUCCCCGGGCUCAACCUGGGAACUGCAUUUGUGACUGCAUCGCUGGAGUGCGGCAGAGGGGGAUGGAAUUCCGCGUGUAGCAGUGAAAUGCGUAGAUAUGCGGAGGAACACCGAUGGCGAAGGCAAUCCCCUGGGCCUGCACUGACGCUCAUGCACGAAAGCGUGGGGAGCAAACAGGAUUAGAUACCCUGGUAGUCCACGCCCUAAACGAUGUCAACUGGUUGUUGGGAGGGUUUCUUCUCAGUAACGUAGCUAACGCGUGAAGUUGACCGCCUGGGGAGUACGGCCGCAAGGUUGAAACUUAAAGGAAUUGACGGNGNGAGAGNGCGAGACGACGACGAGGGAGAGG